rnacentral:rRNA from 1 species
UACGUAGGGAGCAAGCGUUGUCCGGAUUUAUUGGGCGUAAAGCGCACGCAGGCGGUUUAGUCAGUCUCUACUGACAGUGUCCGGCUCAACCGGGCAAGUGGUAGGGAAACUGCUAAACUUGAGGGCUUCAGAGGGAUGGGGAAUUCCUGGUGUAGCGGUGAAAUGCGCAGAUAUCAGGAGGAACACCGAUGGCGAAGGCAGGUCUCUGGGCCACUACUGACGCUGAGAAGCGAAAGCAUGGGGAGCGAACAGG